GCGUCUUUGGCGUCCGAGUUGUAAUUUGCAGAGGGCGCUUUGGCAUUUGGCAGCGGUCCAAGUUCCUUGGAACAGGACGUCACAGAGGGUGAGAAUCCCGUACGUGGUCGCUAGCCUUUACCGUGUAAAGCCCCUUCGACGAGUCGAGUUGUUUGGGAAUGCAGCUCUAAAUGGGAGGUAAAUUUCUUCUAAAGCUAAAUACUGGCCAGAGACCGAUAGCGCACAAGUAGAGUGAUCGAAAGAUGAAAAGCACUUUGGAAAGAGAGUUAAAAAGCACGUGAAAUUGUUGAAAGGGAAGCGCUUGCAGCCAGACUUGCCUGUAGUUGCUCAUCCGGGUUUCUACCCGGUGCACUCUUCUACGGGCAGGCCAGCAUCAGUUUGGGCGGUUGGAUAAAGGUCUCUGUCAUGUACCUCCCUUCGGGGAGAUCUUAUAGGGGAGACGACAUGCAACCAGCCUGGACUGAGGUCCGCGCAUCUGCUAGGAUGCUGGCGUAAUGGCUGUAAGCGGCCCGUCUUGAAACACGGACCAAGGAGUCUAACAUCUAUGCGAGUGUUUGGGUGUCAAGCCCGAGCGCGUAAUGAAAGUGAACGGAGGUGGGAACCUUUCGGGGUGCACCAUCGACCGAUCCUGAUGUCUUCGGAUGGAUUUGAGUAAGAACCAUAGCUGUUGGGACCCGAAAGAUGGUGAACUAUGCUUGAAUAGGGUGAAGCCAGAGGAAACUCCUGGUGGAGGCUCGCAGCGGUUCUGACGUGCAAAUCGAUCGUC
rnacentral:rRNA from 1 species